AUAUUCUUAAACGGUCAAGUUGUGCUGUUUCAACUGUCCAAACCUAAGGUGCAUGCGCUGCUUGUAGUCGGUAAGCAAGAAUCUCUUAUUCAGGACUUCAUGCAUUUCAACCCAAGUAGUAACUAAACCAAUGACUCGGGUUCGAUUUCGUUGUUGUUGCUUGAUUCACCAGACUCGAGCUGUGCCUUUCAAUUUAGCUUUUGCAAAUAAUACUUUUUUG